UGAAGACUCACCACGAGCAUCAGGACAGAACUUCACCAUCACUGACUUCACAGCUGAACACAGUGGGAAUUAUUACUGUGAAGCCCAGAACGAGAUGGGAUGUAGUAACUCCACCUUAAUUCUGAUUAAUUCUUCAGGAAAAGGAGGCUGCACAAGGUCAACAACAACAACUGUUUUUGCAUCCAUAUCUGCUGUUUUCCUGCUGAUCAUCAUCCUCGCUGUCCUCUACAUCAGAUCCCACUGACCAACGCUGGACACCAGGAGGAAGAGGAGAAAAUGGAGAUGGUGCCGUCCACAUGUAUCCACUUUGAUGAAGGCAGCGAGUGACAAUCUUUACUGAAUAUGGAUCCGUCUCUGCUUUUA